rnacentral:piRNA from 1 species
UGCCAUGAUGGAGGAACUGACAGGCAA